rnacentral:lncRNA from 1 species
AAAUCAAAAACUUUGAGGUAUGCCCUUAUUUUGACUGCCCAAUAUUAAUAGUUCUCCCUAGCGAAUGGUGGAGGAGCUGGUGUGUUGAAACCAGCUAAUGCCAUGAAAAAAUGGUAAAAGGGUACACAGUAAUCUAGCAAGAAAGUUCACAAAAAAUAAUGAGUUAGUCCCUUAAGAUCUUUAGGAUUGCUUUGAUACCAUUUUGAAGAUUUGAUAAAUCUGAAAAUAUGAAGAACAGGGAUGAAAGAGAGCCAGAGGGCAUAAUCGAAUGAGAGGAAAGAAAAAAAUAUUGGGUCAGCACAAACGGUGUGCAUAGCCACUUUCAUAUACUCAAUAAUCAACUUUAUAUACAUGAUGGAGGAAAGAGAAAAAAAAAAAAAAAGAGCCAGCUGGUUAAGCAACCACCUGGCAUUCCAACCUUCUAGGUGCUGUGGGAAUGGUGAGAUAUUUCCUCCCACCAGUCAUUUCUCAACUAGUCAAUCGAUGUAGUUUUGGAAGAAACACAAUGAAUUGAGACGUGAAUUCUAGCAUGUGGGGCAAGUAAAUAAUCACAGCAGAUGGACAAAGUGAAAGAGAAGUCAAACAAGCUAAAGACACCAAAUGACACAGAUAAAGAAAUAAAACCGCAGCUAAAGUCUUCUUCUAUUUGAACUUAUCGAGAUUCAUCAC